CCAAGGAGUCCGAUACGUACGCGAGUCAUGGGGUCCUACGAAACCCAAAGGCGCAACGAAAGUGAAAGCGACGGGAGGGGCUUGCCCUUCCCGGCCUGGUGAGAUCCCCGCUGUAGGUAGUUGGGGCGCAUCACCGACCUGCCUGUCUGAAGGUGGAGUCUGAGCGUACGUGUCGGGACCCGAAAGAUGGUGAUCUAUGCCUGAGGUGGAUGAAGCCAGAGGAAACUCUGGUGGAGGUCCUAAGCGAUUCUGACGUGCAAAUCGAUCGUGUCACUUGGGUAUAGGGGCGAAAGACCAAUCGAACCAUCUAGUAGCUGGUUCCCUCCGAAGUUUCCCUCAGGAUAGCUGGCGCUCGAGUGACGCAGUUACAUCCGGUAAAGCGAAUGAUUAGAGGUCUCGGGGGCUGCUGGCCCUCGUCCUAUUCUCAAACUAUAAAUCGGGUGUGAUCCCGCGCCUCUCGUCUUUGUAUAGGAGGCCGGUGUUGAAUGCGAGUGCUUAGUGGGCCACUUUUG
rnacentral:rRNA from 1 species